UAGCUCAACGGUAGAGCGACUCCCUGUUAAGGAGUGGGUUGUAGGUUCGAAUCCUA
rnacentral:tRNA from 1 species